UUUUGACUGUGCAAAGGUAGCAUAAUCAUUAGUUUUUUAAUUGAAAGCUGGAAUGAAAGGUUUGAUGAGAAAAUAACUGUCUCUGUGUAAAUGUUUUAGAACUUCAAUUUUAAGUGAAAAAGCUUAAAUUUUUUAUAAAGACGAGAAGACCCUAUAGAGUUUUAUAUUUGAUUGGAUAUAAAAGUUGUUGAAUUUAUUCUUUUAUUUUUACUUAAGUAUUUUGUUGGGGCGAUGGAAAAAUUUGAUUAACUUUUUUUUGUUUUUAACAUUGAUUUAUGAUUACUUGAUCCUUUUUUUUUGGAUUACAAGACUAAAUUACCUUAGGGAUAACAGCGUAAUUUUUUUUGGAGAGUUCUUAUCGAUAAAAAAGUUUGCGACCUCGAUGUUGGAUUAAAAUUAAAUUUCGGUGCAGAAGCUGGAAUUUUGGGUCUGUUCGACCUUUGAAAUUUU
rnacentral:rRNA from 1 species